GCGCCCUUGGUGUAACGGUAACAUUACCUCACUGCUCAUUCUAUGAAUAAGAGGGGUCCCGGGUUCGACUCCCGGAGGGCGCC